AGUCCCUGGCAAUGGGCAAAGAAUCACCCUUGUUGGUGGUGUUGCUCUUAUAUCAGUCAGGAGCAGAGCAGAUGGUCAUCCUUGGUUCAUCCUAGUUUGGUGCCUGGCUUGGUGGCCAAAGCUGUUUUAUGCCAGGAAAUAUAA